rnacentral:rRNA from 1 species
UACAGGGGGGUGCAAACGUUGCUCGGAAUCAUUGGGCGUAAAGCGCACGUAGGCGGUUCGUUAUGUCGGAUGUGAAAGCCCUUGGCUUAACCGAGGAAGUGCAUCCGAAACUGGCGAGCUAGAGUACGAAAGAGGAUCGCGGAAUUCCCGGUGUAGAGGUGAAAUUCGUAGAUAUCGGGAGGAACACCGGUGGCGAAGGCGGCGAUCUGGACCGACAUUGACGCUGAGGCGCGAAAGCGUGGGGAGCAAACAGG